UACAGAGGUCUCAAGCGUUGUUCGGAUUCAUUGGGCGUAAAGGGUGCGUAGGCGGCGCGGUAAGUCGGGUGUGAAAUCUUGGAGCUUAACUCCGAAACUGCAUUCGAUACUGCCGUGCUUGAGGACUGGAGAGGAGACUGGAAUUUACGGUGUAGCAGUGAAAUGCGUAGAUAUCGUAAGGAAGACCAGUGGCGAAGGCGAAAUCUCUGGACAGUUACUGACACUGAGGCACGAAGGCCAGGGG
rnacentral:rRNA from 1 species